GGCGGGAGCAGGCCGGGGGAGCGCUGCCGGGCAUCCUCCUCACGCACGGGGGCCGGUGAGCGGUGGUGGGCAGUGUCAUCCUGGGUGUCUCCCUCAGGCCGGUUAGGGUGACGAGGAACUACGAGACGUGCAGUGACGGACACCUUGGUUUCUUCCACCCCUGCUCCUGGGCACCUGCCACGAGCCAGACGCCACCGACUCCGAGCGCUGGGACACAAAGAGGAGUUCCGGGGGCCUAGCGGGCCUACGCGGCAUCUCCUUCCCGCCAGCCUCCCUCUUGUCUCCACCUGACCGGCUCCCACGCCCAUCCUCCUCCUCCCCGAGGCCCAGGAGCCCGCCCCAGUGAGGUGGGUCCCCGCGUCCAGGCUGACCCGGUCCCGUUUCCCCCGAGCAUGACUGGCUUAGUCCUGGGUAAGUGACGUGGUUCUGCUGCGUCAGACUGAGGAAGGGCAGGGGGAGGCUUCUGGGAAAGACAGACAGUCGUGAGCGCAGGGAGCCCGGGGUCCGCACUGUCGCAGGGCGAGGAGGGCCAGCCUGGAGGGCAGCUGUGAGCCCGCGGGUGGGGAGGUGAGCUGAUGGGGUCCACCCGGAACCCACCACCUCACACCCAACUGCACUCAUGUGACUGGUCCCCAAAACCCGCUCUGGGGGAGACAGCUGGGUCCAAGGACCCACCUGAACUUUCUCCUUUCCCAGCAAACACAGGCGCCCAGGCUGGAAUUGCAGGGAAGCUCUUGGCGCCUCAGGACUGGAGUGGCGGCUACCAUUCCCUGGUGUUUUAAGACACAAGAAUGCUCUAGAAAGUAUCCAUCGAGCACGGAACCACCAGGUCUGUGAACAUAGAGCAGGACAGAGCCAGAGAGAGGCACCUCGCGUCGUCGAGCGUCGGCAACGCCACCUCGCUGGACGCCCCGCCUGCCGACCCGACGGGCCGACGGUCACUGUGAAGGCAACCCGGGGAGCUGGCGGUUCGGCCACGUGCCAGGCUGGGCAGCGGCGGCUCCAGAGCAAGGUCGGGCGGCGUGCGUGCGGGGCUCCGCGCGGGGAGGGCGCCCGCUGGCUCCACCGGCCCUCAGGGCGCCUCCUCCUUCCCGCCUUCCCUCCAGUCCUCUUUCAGGUUCUCGGCCACGUGCUUCAUCUGCUGUCGAGAGAACACAGGACACGCGGAGUCACGUGAGGCUGGGUGGUGGCGCCUCAGGGGCGGCCCAGGCCCCGCUCCGGCAUCAAGGCGCCGGCACGGCGGGAGUCCUGCUGCUCCAGUCCCGGGGCCCCGGCCGCCUCUGUGCCCUGGGUGCUGGACAGCGUGCAUAGAGCUCUGCCCUGGGUACUGAACCAAUGAAUAACUCCUUUGGGAUUUGGCUUAAAAUGCACACGGAGAUUUCUGAUAACAGCUGUUUACUUAUGGAGAAAACAAGACUCUGAGCACAAACGCUGCUGGUGCCCGGGUACCUGGCUGCCCCUCUUGGGAGCCCCAAACACCACACGGGCUGGACACGGUGCACACUCCCGCCGGCUUUUGGGGAGAGGAGGCUGGUUCACAGACUGCAAGUCGAACGCCUCUGCCUCCUGCUGCAACCUGCUUCCCUCCCCGAAGGCUCCUUUAGGCCUGUAGCAUCUCAGGAGGCCCCCGUCACUCCGGUCAGUCCUCCUCUUUUCUAGCCUGUUCUGCCUUCCGCAGGGCCGUGCCGAGAUGGGCUCCCGGCAGCUGGCCCCUGUCCAUCUGGGCUGGGGAGGGGCCUGCCUGGGUCUGGGGGAGCAGGGUUAGGGGACGGCUCCUGAUGGGGGAGGUGCCGAGUGGGGACGGGCUCUUCCCGCAGCCUCUGAGCAGGCCUAGAGCAGGCGCCCCUCAGCUGCGGGGUUUAUGCGACCUUCAGCCUGACAGGACGGCAGAGACGGUGUGAUUUAGUUCACAAACCUGGAGAAGCAGAACGGCCAUGCCACCCGAAUCCCCCCAGAAGUUAGUUUUUGCCUCUGCUACCUUUUCCGUUACUCAUGUCUCCCGUCCUCUCACGAGCCCACUUUGACUGUCAACUACUGAUGUAAAAUGUAGUAUUUCCCCCCAGAUGCACUUCAGACUCUUGCAGCUGGUGUCAUUUAAUACUUACGAGACCUUUAAACAUGUCUAUUUAUGAGAGACAGAAAGGGGGUGAGGCACAGAAGAUGAAUCUAUUUCCUGAUUUGACAAGUAACCGUAAGAAACUAAAAGCGGCAUAAAUUUAAACUAGCAUCAAAAUGAGGAUACGACAUUCCCUAGUUUGUCACAGAAUCUACCAGCCACACUUGCCCUCCACAAGCCUUCGAGGCUCCCUGUGAGCUACAAACAGCCCCCCCUCUGCGUGCGUGGCUGCGGAGGGGGCAGCCCCUUGGCGUCAGGCCAGAGCGUCCCGCAGACCUCGCGGGAGGCUGAGGGGAGCCAUCUGACGGGCCCUGUGCCCUGAAUGACCCAGCCCCAAGUGACCUAGCUUUUCGAAGAUGCCUCUUCUUUCAGGUCCCAGGUUGGGGGCUUGGCCCAGGCCGGGGAAGAGACUCAGAACCCACUGGGCUUGGACGACUGCCCACCCGCAGUGCCUGCCCUGCUGAGGGCAGCUCCUAAGGGUAGCGGUUCCUGGAUGUCACGGGCUCGUCUACACUUAACUGCGCUGCUGGAAGCAAAGCACAGUGCCGAGGCCCUGGGAAGUGGCAGGGAGCAGGACCAGAACUUAAGACCUGUAGCUAAAGCCCAAAGAAGAAACCCAGCAGCUAAGAGGAAACAAACUGCAACGGCCCGCCUGCCUGAGGUGAAGAGUUCAACUGGAUUUGAGUGGCCUGGAACCAAGCCCAGGGUAUCUCGGAGGUCUGCCUGUAACAGGAACCGAAUCACUACGCGUGCUGGCCAAACAUGCAGCUUAACCUGAGAAACGAGGCCUCCAGUCUCUGAGUGUGGAGCUGAGUGGCUAGAGCCAGGCUGAGGGCCUCUGCGGCCAGGCCAUCUCAUCCCACGACAGCAGCUCAAACAUGAACUGGGUUCUCAGGGCCUGCAAAAGCUCCGGCACCAAGUUGGUGCUCCACAGAUACCUGUGGAAGAGCAACCAAGCACAGCUCCAAGCCUACAGCAGCAGCCAGAGAUGACAGCUCAGCCGAUAAUCUCAUCAAGAACAACACAGACAGGUAAAGCCUCCCUUCUCAUGGGUGCGUAAAUGAGACACAUUCAUGUUCUUGAAGUCAGCGUCACUUUCUGGACCAUAAAUGUGCCCGUCACAUGUAUAGGGUCAUAGGAAACACACCGUAACAUGGGCUGUAUGUCAGAAGUUUCAGGAUUUUGGAGUUCCAGAUGGUUCCCUGCCCUGGUAACAGUGCAGACCUGGGUCCAGCCCCUCAGGAUGUCACCCAGUGGAGAUAGGAAUCUCAGUCCCCCAAGCCCUCAGGGGUGGUUCUGGUGAAGGGAAGGUGGUAUGCAGGUAGAGCUGGGUGGAGAGAAGAUGACAGGGGAAAGUCAAGGGCCACCAGGGAAGUUGCCAGAUCAUCAUCUUGGUCCCAGCUGGAAACCAAGACUCCUCCAAGAAGGUCCAAACCCAGCUCCCAGACCUGGUGGCCAGGCCCAGCUCACCCAACCAGUGAGAUGCCAGUGUCCACGAGUUCAUUAACUGCAUGAGCUGAUCCUGGGGAAGACAAAUGUCAGUUCAACUUAAAGAAAAUAUCUACUUCUUAAAUCAUCUUUUGGGAGGAGGAGAUCAAGGUGGCAGGGCAGAAGGACGUGGAGCUCACCUCCCCCCACAAAUACGUCAAAAAUACAUCUACAACUGGAACAAUUCUCACAGAACACCAACUGAAAGUGCUAAAUGAAAAAGUGGAGGAAGCAGUCCCAAUUAAAAGAAAAAGAGAAGUCGCCUGAAAGAACAAACAGUGAAUACCAGCUGAAUACCAACUGAAAGCGGGCAGAAGAGCUCAUACAACUGAAGCUGUAAGAAAGAUCCCCAUGUAACCUGGUAAGACUAAAGGGCAAAAAGGGGGGGGGGAAUCAAGGUGGGACCUGUGCUCCUGGGAGGGAGCCAUGAAAGAGGAAUGGUUUCCUUACCCUGGGAACCUGCUUCGCCGGCUGGGAGCUCAGCCAAGACAGAUAGGUAGCUGCAGGAGCCUGGAAUUUGCCCAAGAGGAGUGUGCACAGGCUGGCUGGCUUCCACGCAGGAUAGAGAGGAACCGACACUGACUGCUGCCACGUCACCACACUGCCCAGCCCAAGACACGCACUUACCGGUGUGCACAGUUCCUGGGUGCUGAAACUCAGGCUUCAGCGGACAGACUCGAGGAGGGGACUUGGUUUGGCUAUUUGGACAUAGCCCGAAGGGCCUAGGAUGUGGUCCAGGCCGCAAAUGGGGGUGUGUGUGGGACAGAGCGUGGGUCCGUCAUGGAAGCCUCAUUCACACCAUGCUCACAGUGGGCACAGCUUCCGGAGCUCCCACUUUGUGAGUGUGCACGUGACGAAGGCAGGCAGAGCUGACGCACGCGCUCUGGCAGUAGAGGGUAGGCCGACUUUGUGGGUGUGCACACCAGGUGAUGGGUGGUGUCACAGAGUUGCCUGUCCCAGCAAACAGGUCCUGCAGAGGAACACCCAGCACCUCCUUUCCAGGGGGAGUGCUCCAGUCUCACCUACCUCACACUGCAGCUUAGAACCGGACCUGGGGGCUUUUACUCCAACAACUGGGGAGCAAACCCUACCCCCGACAGGGCCGUGACAACCAAAGAGGAAGCCCCGCCCAAUAUCCAGUGCAGGCUCUGGUCACCACAGCACCAAACACACCCCUUAUCAAGGGGACAGUGGCCAGCACGCUCUGAGCAAAGUCAUGGCGGGCAUCCGCACCAAAUGUAGCCCUCGCAUCAAAAAUAUUGGACUUACACAGUCUACAAAGGGAUGCUCCCACAUAAAAGCAGCCUUUCAAGACCACAGUACGUAACUGUUUCUCCUAAAUUCUUAGCGUAAGAGAAAUGAAAGUAAAAUGACAAAGCAGAGGAAGUACUCCCAAUUAAAAGAAAAAAGAAGUCCCCGAAAGAAAAAAACAAUGAAACAGACCUCUCCAGUCUACCAGACCACUGAGUUCAAAAAGGAGGUAAUAAAAAUGCUGAAGGAAUUAAGAAAGACUAUCAGUAGAAAUGGAGAUCACUGUAACAAGGAACUAGAAACCAUAAAGAGACAAUCAAAAUUAGACAACUCAAUUGCCAAGAUAAAAACCGAGCUAAAGGUAAUAAAUAGCAAACUAAAUAAUGCAGAAGAACGAAAAGUGAUCUGUAAGAAUAACAGAAGUCACCCAAUCAGAACAGCAGACAGAAAGACAAAUGAAAGCAACAUACGAGACAUAUAGGAUAAUAUAAAGUGUGCCAAUCUACACAUAAUAGGAAUU